rnacentral:rRNA from 1 species
UGAGGAAUAUUGGUCAAUGGACGCAAGUCUGAACCAGCCAAGUAGCGUGCAGGAUGACGGCCCUAUGGGUUGUAAACUGCUUUUAUAUGGGGAUAAAGUGGGGAACGUGUUCCCUUUUGCAGGUACCAUAUGAAUAAGGACCGGCUAAUUCCGUGCCAGCAGCCGCGGUAAUACGGAAGGUUCGGGCGUUAUACGGAUUUAUUGGGUUUAAAGGGAGCGUAGGCCGUUUGGUAAGCGUGUUGUGAAAUGUAGGAGCUCAACUUCUAGAUUGCAGCGCGAACUGUCAGACUUGAGUGCGCACAACGUAGGCGGAAUUCAUGGUGUAGCGGUGAAAUGCUUAGAUAUCAUGAAGAACUCCGAUUGCGAAGGCAGCUUACGGGAGCGCAACUGACGCUGAAGCUCGAAGGUGCGGGUAUCGAACAGG